GGCUGGUCUGAUGGUGGUGGGUUAUCAGAACUUAUUAACAUUAGUGUCACUGCAGUUGGUAUACAACCCCCCACUGCUAAAUUUCACUGUCUUAA
rnacentral:Y_RNA from 1 species